UUCUAUGGUGGACCGCGCGAGGCAGGCUUCGGCCUGGCCGGUUCCCUUGGUUGCCGGUUUGCGACCCUCGUGCGGUCUGCCACCCAU
rnacentral:antisense_RNA from 1 species